CCUACGGGGGGCUGCAGUGGGGAAUAUUGGACAAUGGGGGCAACCCUGAUCCAGCCAUGCCGCGUGUGUGAAGAAGGCCCUCGGGUUGUAAAGCACUUUCAGUGAGGAAGAACGCCUGGUGGUUAAUACCCAUCAGGAAAGACAUCACUCACAGAAGAAGCACCGGCUAACUCCGUGCCAGCAGCCGCGGUAAUACGGAGGGUGCGAGCGUUAAUCGGAAUUACUGGGCGUAAAGCGCGCGUAGGUGGCUUGAUAAGCCGGUUGUGAAAGCCCCGGGCUCAACCUGGGAACGGCAUCCGGAACUGUCAAGCUAGAGAGCAGGAGAGGAAGGUAGAAUUCCCGGUGUAGCGGUGAAAUGCGUAGAGAUCGGGAGGAAUACCAGUGGCGAAGGCGGCCUUCUGGACUGACACUGACACUGAGGUGCGAAAGCGUGGGUAGCAAACAGGAUUAGAUACCCCAGUAGUC
rnacentral:rRNA from 1 species